AAAAAUUUUCAUAAAACCACAACAAUCGAUUGUCUGGUUUUGACAAUCGAUUGUCAUGGUCCGGUAACUUAAAAUUUUUUUCAUAAAACCAAACAAUCGAUUGUCUGGCUUUGACAAUCGAUUGUCUGGCUUUGACAAUCGAUUGUGGAUGGUCCAGUAACUUAAAAAAACUUUUUCAGAAAACCAAACAAUCGAUUGUCUGGUUUUGACAAUCGAUUGUGUUG
rnacentral:lncRNA from 1 species